GUCCUUGUAGCGCAGUGGAUAGCGUGUUGGACUUCUAAUCCAAAGGUCAAAUCCCACCUGAGAUG